rnacentral:rRNA from 1 species
UCAAGCGAACAAGGGCGCAGGGCGAAUGCCUUGGCACUGGGAGCCGAUGAAAGACGUGAUAAGCUGCGAUAAGCUUCGGGGAGCUGCAAAUAAGCAUUGAUCCGGAGAUUUCUGAAUGAGGAAACUCACCUGGGUUCAUACUCAGGUACGUUAUACUGAACUUAAAAAUAGGUAUAUCGAGGGAACCGCCUGAACUGAAACAUCUAAGUAGGGCGAGGAAGAGACAUCAAACGAGAUUCCGUAAGUAGUGGCGAGCGAACGCGGAAGAGGGCAAACCGAGAGGAGAAAUCCUUUCGGGGUACGGACUGCUUUAAGGACUGAAAGAGUUAACAGAAUGGCAUGGGAAGGCCAACCGAAGAGUGUGAGAGUCACGUAAGUAAAAAUUCUGACAGCUGCGCAGGAUCCAGAGUACGGCCAGACACGUGAAACCUGGUCGGAAUACGGGGGGACCACCCUCCAACCCUAAAUACUACCCAGUGACCGAUAGCGUAUAGUACUGUGAAGGAAAGGUGAAAAGGACCCCGGGAGGGGAGUGAAAGAGAACCUGAAACCUUGUGCCUACAAGCACAUAGAGCCCGUCAAAGGGUGAUAUGGUACUUUUUGUAGAACGGUCCGGCGAGCGAUUGUACGUUGCGAGCUUAAGGUCUUAAGGACUGGAGGCGUAGCGAGAGCGAGUCUAAACAGGGCGUUUAGUAGCGUGCAAUGGGCCCGAAACCGGGUGACCUACCCAUGAUCAGGCUGAAGUGAAAGUAAAAUUUCAUGGAGGGCCGAACCGACCUCCGUUGAAAAGGCGGCGGAUGAAUUGUGGGUAGCGGAGAAAUUCCAAUCGAACUCGGAGAUAGCUGGUUCUCCCCGAAAUAGCUUUAGGGCUAGCGUUAUGUUAGAUUACCGGAGGUAAAGCACUGAAUGGUAGCGGGGCCGAUAAGGUUACCAACGCCUAUCAAACUAAGAAUGCCGGCUAAUUGAUGCAUAGCAGUCAGACAGUGUGAGAUAAGUUUCAUUGUCAAAAGGGAAACAGCCCAGACCCACAGCUAAGGUCCCCAAGUAUAGUUAAGUGGAAAAGGAUGUGGAAUUGCACAGACAACCAGGAUGUUGGCUUAGAAGCAGCCACUCAUUAAAAGAGUGCGUAAUAGCUCACUGGUCGAGUGACUCUGCGCCGAAAAUUUAACGGGGCUAAACUAUACACCGAAGCUUGGGAUACAUCUAAUGUAUGGUAGGAGAGCGUUCUGUAUGGGGAGAAGUCGUAGCGAAAGCGGCGGUGGACUAUACAGAAGUGAGAAUGCCGGAAUAAGUAGCGAGAAUUAAGUGAGAAUCUUAAUGGCCGAAAGUCUAAGGUUUUUGGAGGAAGGUUCGUCCGCUCCAAGUAAGUCGGGAGCUAAGGUCAGGCCGAAAGGCGUAGCCGAUGCACAUACGGUUGAUAUUCCGUAACCAUCUGUAAUUUAAGCAAAGGGACACUUCAAAAGGGUGUGACCCGGGCGUUGGUUGACCCGGGCGUAAGGGACCGAAAUUAGAGUAGGGAAGCACACUUAGCUGAAGGCGAGAAAAGCUUUGCGUAUAGAAGCAGAUGCCCGUACCGCAAACCGACACAGGUGGACAGGAAGAGAAUUCUAAGGCCAGCGGGAGAAGGGUAGUUAAGGAACUCGGCAAAUUGACUCCGUAACUUCGGAAUAAGGAGUGCUCGAAAGAGCCGCAGAGAAUAGGCCCAGGCGACUGUUUAGCAAAAACACAGGUCUCUGCUAAAUCGAAAGAUGACGUAUAGGGGCUGACACCUGCCCGGUGCCGGAAGGUUAAGAGGAGAUGUGAGAGCAUUGAAUUGAAGCCCCGGUAAACGGCGGCCGUAACUAUAACGGUCCUAAGGUAGCGAAAUUCCUUGUCGGGU